rnacentral:rRNA from 1 species
CCUGACGCAGCCAUGCCGCGUGAAUGAUGAAGGUCUUAGGAUUGUAAAAUUCUUUCACCGGGGACGAUAAUGACGGUACCCGGAGAAGAAGCUCCGGCUAACUUCGUGCCAGCAGCCGCGGUAAUACGAAGGGGGCUAGCGUUGCUCGGAAUUACUGGGCGUAAAGGGCGCGUAGGCGGACAGUUUAGUCAGAGGUGAAAGCCCAGGGCUCAACCCUGGAAUUGCCUUUGAUACUGGCUGUCUUGAGUACGGGAGAGGUGUGUGGAACUCCGAGUGUAGAGGUGAAAUUCGUAGAUAUUCGGAAGAACACCAGUGGCGAAGGCGACACACUGGCCCGUUACUGACGCUGAGGCGCGAAAGCGUGGGGAGCAAACAGGACUAGAUACCCUGGUAGUCCACGCCGUAAACGAUGAGUGCUAGUUGUCGGCAUGCAUGCAUGUCGGUGACGCAGCUAACGCAUUAAGCACUCCGCCUGGGGAGUACGGUCGCAAGAUUA